GACGAACGCUGGCGGCGUGCUUAACACAUGCAAGUCGAACGGAAAGGCCCUGCUUUCAGGGUACUCUAGUGGCGAACGGGUGAGUAACACGUGGGUGUUCUGCCCUGCACUUCGGGAUAAGCCUUGGAAACUGGGUCUAAUACCGGAUAGGAGCCAUUUUUAGUGUGAUGGUUGGAAAGUUUUUUCGGUGUAGGAUGAGCUCGCGGCCUAUCAGCUUGUUGGUUGGGUAAUGGCCUACCAAGGCGGCGACGGGUAGCCGGCCUGAGAGGGUGGACGGCCACAUUGGGACUGAGAUAAGGCCCAGACUCCUAAGGGAGGCAGCAGUGGGGAAUAUUGCAAAAUGGGCGCAAGCCUGAUGCAGCGACGCCGCGUGGGGGAUGACGGCCUUCGGGUUGGAAACCCCUUUCGCUAGGGACGAAGCUUUUUGUGACGGUACCUAGAUAAGAAGCACCGGCUAACUACGUG
rnacentral:rRNA from 1 species